GUUGGUGGUUAUAGCAUAGGGGUUCACCUCUUCCCAUUCCGAACAGAGAAGUUAAGCCCUAUAGCGCCGAUGGUACUACCCUAUCAGGUGGGAGAGUAGGUCGCUGCCAACU
rnacentral:rRNA from 1 species